AACGAACGCUGGCGGCAGGCUUAACACAUGCAAGUCGAACGCCCCGCAAGGGGAGUGGCAGACGGGUGAGUAACGCGUGGGAACAUACCCUUUUCUACGGAAUAGCUCUGGGAAACUGGAAUUAAUACCGUAUACGCCCUACGGGGGAAAGAUUUAUCGGGGAAGGAUUGGCCCGCGCUGGAUUAGCUAGUUGGUGGGGUAAAGGCCUACCAAGGCGACGAUCCAUAGCUGGUCUGAGAGGAUGAUCAGCCACAUUGGGACUGAGACACGGCCCAAACUCCUACGGGAGGCAGCAGUGGGGAAUAUUGGACAAUGGGCGCAAGCCUGAUCCAGCCAUGCCGCGUGAGUGAUGAAGGCCUUAGGGUUGUAAAGCUCUUUCACCGAUGAAGAUAAUGACGGUAGUCGGAGAAGAAGCCCCGGCUAACUUCGUG
rnacentral:rRNA from 1 species